rnacentral:rRNA from 1 species
UACAGAGGUCUCAAGCGUUGUUCGGAUUCAUUGGGCGUAAAGGGUGCGUAGGUGGCGCGGUAAGUCGGGUGUGAAAUCCUGGAGCUCAACUCCAGAACUGCCUUCGAUACUGAGGAUCUCGAGUCCGGGAGAGGUGAGUGGAACUGCGAGUGUAGAGGUGAAAUUCGUAGAUAUUCGCAAGAACACCAGUGGCGAAGGCGGCUCACUGGCCCGGUACUGACGCUGAGGUGCGAAAGCGUGGGGAGCAAACAGG